GAUGAACGCUGGCGGCGUGCCUAAUACAUGCAAGUCGAGCGAACGGACGAGAAGCUUGCUUUUCUGUUGUUAGCGGCGGACGGGUGAGUAACACGUGGAUAACCUACCUAUAAGACUGGGAUAACUUCGGGAAACCGGAGCUAAUACCGGAUAAUAUUUUGAACCGCAUGGUUCAAAAGUGAAAGACGGUCUUGCUGUCACUUAUAGAUGGAUCCGCGCUGCAUUAGCUAGUUGGUAAGGUAACGGCUUACCAAGGCAACGAUGCAUAGCCGACCUGAGAGGGUGAUCGACCACACUGGAACUGAGACACGGUCCAGACUCCUACGGGAGGCAACAGUAGGGAAUCUUCCGCAAUGGGCGAAAGCCUGACGGAGCAACGCCGCGUGAAUGAUGAAGGUCUUCGGAUCGUAAAACUCUGUUAUUAGGGAAGAACAUAUGUGUAAGUAACUGUGCACAUCUUGACGGUACCUAAGCAAAAAGCCACGGCUGACUACGUG
rnacentral:rRNA from 1 species